CUCCAGGCUGGGUGUCUGGCAUCCAGACCCCAAGUGUGGAUGGGCCACACACACCCCCCCCCCCCGCCAGACUUGCAAGUGAAAUGACUAAAUAUGAGAAGCCACGUGGGCUUAGGUGUAGCCCUGGAGAACCAGAGGUUAGGAAGCUUUCAAAGGGAGGAAGUAAAAGGAGGGUUAAAGUUAUCAGGGCUUGAGCUGCCUGCGUCUCUUACUGAAAGACAACUCUACUUUAAAAAUUCUAUUUCUUCAACAUUUUUAAGUUCUCUAGGCCCCUGCUUCUUCAUUUAUAAGGGAGGGGAAAAGUUGCAAUACUGGAAACAUUCCUAUAAAGAGGAGAUGGGUGCACAGCCUGGAGCAAAGCAAGCCCUCAAUUAAUAUAAGCCACCACUGACUGUUGCUGUUACGAUAAUGGUGAUGAUUCUUGGUUGCCCCAGAUAUUAGCAAAGCUGAGACAUACCUGGAUGUAUCUGCCAUCCGCAGAAAAAUCCAUCUGAAUGACAAAGCUUGGAAUAUCUUUGCAGUAGCCAAUGCGGUUCAGGCUUGUGCCCUGAGUGAGGUCAUAGAAGUCAACUGUGUGUUCAGAAGAACCAACGGCUAAGAAUCUGCUGUCUGGGCUGAUUCUAGAAAAAGCAAUCCAAGAGCAUGGUCUGUGAGAAGGGCUUGUCAGGUCUGCUCUGGAAUGGGCCUCCCAAGCUCAAAGGCAAUGAGAUCCCACUUCAUGACUCACACGUGGUUAGCAUUCUAGGGAGUUCAGCAAUUUCUCUAUAUCCAAUCCCAUGGAAGUACGGGAGUGGAUGCACGUAGCCUUAUGCAGAAUGGCGUCGUACACGCAGUUUUUAACCACACUCUUCGUGGAACUUAGCAAAGACAUGUCUGGGAAUUAAUGUGUGAGGGAGUCUCCUUCCACGGCUGGAUCGUUGAAAGGGACCCUCCCACAACUGAAUUCUUCAUUCCAGUCAUGACCCUUCCAGAAAGACUUUCAGGCUGUUCACCAACAAGAUGACAAACUCUCCAUUCUUCAUGCCAAUGGCCACCAUCUCCCCGUCAGGGCUGUAGGCUGCACAUCUGGCCGCGUGGCCCAGGUUCACCUUGUUAAGCAGUUUCUACAUAGAUACAAAGUAGCAUGACCUAAGCCCUAGGCCUUCUUGGCUGGUCUCCAAGGGAAAUCCUGCACCCAGGCCAGAGCAGUCAGGCCAUCUCUGCUGCCACUUUGGGCCUCCAAACGUCUUGCUUCUUAUAGUAACUGUCCCUGAGGAACCAAGACGGGCAGUAUGUUUUCAUCAGAACAGCUUGGGCAGAGCCAUGGAUGAGAGUGUCGGCACAGAGACUGCCAUCAUCUGGUCUCUGCCAAAACAUUCCACUGACGGCAAGCUCAUGACAGAGCCGGGUAGUCCGUUUCUGUUGUUGGACCGUUCAAUGUCUUCCCAAAUUCUUCCUCGCACUGAACAACGAGCCAUCUCUCGAGGACUUCCACAUUCUGGGCCUACCUCUGCCUUCAUCUCCCAGGUGUCUGCCUACCUACCAGAUGACUGGUAUUUAUCUAUCUAAAAACAAAGCUCUCGAUUUCUAAUUAUGGAGACUCUAAGUCAGGUCUGCCUUUUUCAAUGGGGAACAUCCAGAAGGCACAUUCUUAGACUGCUAACAAUUCAAAACUAUAGACACAGGGUAUGAACCAGAGGUUAAGAUUUGUUUUUUUAAGGACCUCAGAAUUUCUUGGGGAAUUAAAAAAAGAAAAGAAGAAAAGGAACACACAACUCAUGGCUAAGACUCUGAUUUGGCAGCUCUGGGUAAGUACAUGGACAGCCAUAUAUUAAAAACAACAACAACAAGAAACAACUCCACAGUUGUUUCUGAUAUUCAGCCCAGGUAGGACUUGACAAACUAUGACUUUGAGUCAGACAGUUUGAUGGCCCUUUACUGUCCCCCCUUACUGACCAUGUAACCGUGCGCAUGGCAAAUUAUUUACUAUCUCUGUGCCUACAGUAAUAAUCACAUCUAUAACAGUAGCAGCUGACAUCCACAGAAUGUGGCUCUGAGCCAGGCAUAAUGGAAGGCAUCGCGCAUUAUAACGCACGCGACCCUCACAACCACCCGCCUGGACACAGAAAGGGUACGUAACACACCCAAGGUCAUACAGCCAGUGCUGACUCAGAAGAGUCUGCGCCUGGCUCUGUGGGACCCUGCUAAGCCGACUCCCACCGCAGUGCAAGUAGCACCUUGGAAGCCUGUUUUAAGGAUUUAGCACCUGGGCACAGGGAAAGAGUAUGGCUGAACUCCUUCUCUCUCUUGGGCCCCUUCCGGGCCCAGCCCCCUAGGGACAGCUGGGGAAAGACCGCCCGCCCACUCACUUUGCCGCGGCACACAGAGCGCACACACUCCACCGGCUGCCCCGUCUCCAGCUGGAAGGCCCGGCAGCGCUUCAUCUCCUGGUCCCACAAUUUCACAGCACCUCCUUCUUUGGUCCUAAAAAGGAGUGAGAGGACCUUGGCAAGUUGGGCCUUGUCCUAAGACUUGCCCUUGAUGCUCCAUGUCCCCUGUCCCUAUCAUCAAGGCCACCGGGUCCCAGCAGGACAGACCCUCCAGGGUGGCUUCUUUUUUGGCCCUGCCGACAGGUAGUGACAACCAUUUCACUAGAAUACUUUCAAAUGCCACUAUGGCAGAAGGAAAGAGGACUGUGAUCUAAAAUACCAAACCGUGUCUUGAUUAGAUCAAACACGAAGAGAAACGUUUCUCUGCUGCUCUGCUUCCUUCUUACAUCUCUGUCCCCAGGGGAACUUCUCUCCCCGCCUCUCCAUCCUCCCGUCCCCGAGACCUACGGGAAGUAACGCUCGAUGAAGAGCAUAGUCACUCGAGUCUAUUCAAGAAUACCUCUCUGGAUUUUCCACUAUCAUUAAACCACCUCUCUCCUUCUCUGACUUGUACUCUGAAGGUUUUUGCCCAGGGCCCUCUUGGAGAGAUGGCAGACUCGUCUCCCUGAUGCAGGCAAGAUGGGGGAAAGAAAAUCUGCGUUUUCUCCCAGUGGGAGAUGCUUCUGUCAGUUUCUCCCAGCACAAUAAAUAAGAAAAGAUCAGUUGUUCCCAGAGGAGUUUCGCCUUACGGCCGCUCUUUGCCACCAGUCACUAUGAGUCCAUCCCGGAGGGUCGUGUACAUUGUGAAGACAGGGCCCGUGUGAGCCUUGGCCACCAGUCGGACGAGGAAGUGGUCCUUCCACACGUAGACGUCUCCGUUGAUGGCACCCGUGAAAGUGAGGUUGUUCUGUAAACAAAGGGACACCUUCCACACUAGGACACUCACAGCACCUCUCAAGAGGGUCCCCUCCCAACCACCUGCUCCUUGGUUAGGGAACUAGAACUAGAGAAAGAGAAACACACUCAAAUUGACCUUCUGUGCUAAGGAAAGGGAUAAAGGAAUAAAGGUUGCAAGUAAGCCAAUAAAGGUGAAAAUGUGGAAAUA